GACGAACGCUGGCGGCGUGCCUAAUACAUGCAAGUAGAACGCUGAAGGAGGAGCUUGCUCUUCUGGAUGAGUUGCGAACGGGUGAGUAACGCGUAGGUAACCUGCCUGGUAGCGGGGGAUAACUAUUGGAAACGAUAGCUAAUACCGCAUAACAGUAGAUGUUGCAUGACAUUUGCUUAAAAGGUGCAAUUGCACCACUACCAGAUGGACCUGCGUUGUAUUAGCUAGUUGGUGGGGUAACGGCUCACCAAGGCGACGAUACAUAGCCGACCUGAGAGGGUGAUCGGCCACACUGGGACUGAGACACGGCCCAGACUCCUACGGGAGGCAGCAGUAGGGAAGCUUCGGCAAUGGACGGAAGUCUGACCGAGCAACGCCGCGUGAGUGAAGAAGGGUUUCGGAUCGUAAAGCUCUGUUGUAAGAGAAGAACGAGUGUGAGAGUGGAAAGUUCACACUGUGACGGUAUCUUACCAGAAAGGGACGGCUAACUACGUG
rnacentral:rRNA from 1 species